rnacentral:rRNA from 1 species
GAUGAACGCUGGCGGCGUGCCUAAUACAUGCAAGUAGAACGCACAGUUUAUACCGUAGCUUGCUACACCAUAGACUGUGAGUUGCGAACGGGUGAGUAACGCGUAGGUAACCUGCCUGGUAGCGGGGGAUAACUAUUGGACACGAUAGCUAAUACCGCAUAAUAUUCAUUAUUGCAUGAUAAUUAAUUGAAAGGUGCAAUUGCACCACUACCAGAUGGACCUGCGUUGUAUUAGCUAGUAGGUGAGGUAACGGCGCACCUAGGAGACGAUACAUAGCUGACCUGAGGAGGUGGUCGGCCACACUGGGACUGAGACACGGCCCAGACUCCUACGGGAGGCAGCAGUAGGGGAUCUUCGGCAAUGGACGAAAGUCUGACCGGACAACGCCGCGGGAGUGAAGAAGGUUUUCGGAUCGUAAAGCUCUGUUGUAAAGGAAGAACGGGUGUGAGAGUGGAAAGUUCACACUGUGACGGUAUCUUACCAGAAAGGGACGGCUAACUACGUG